UUAACUCAUAUUUGUAUGGAAUGGGAUCGUUUGCCUACGUUUGCCGUUAGGGGCGCAGUUCCAACUGCAUACAAAAUUGGGUUA
rfam:Bombyx mori DNA, contig: Bm_scaf16_contig11947, strain: p50T/Dazao, build 2, whole genome shotgun sequence.